AUGGACUUCUACAACACUUAUGCAAGAUAUGCAUGGUUUGGCAUACGCAAGAGGGCAAAACACAAGAAAAAUGCCUACAUUGUCUGCUCAAGAGAAGGGGCGCAAAAGCAGACUGUGUCAGAUUAUGACCGAAAACGUGAGAAGACAUCAAAAAGGAUUGGCUGCAAGGCAAAAAUAAGAGUCAAAAAGAGGAAGGAUGGCAAAUUUGUGAUAGAAAUGGUUGAACUAAAUCACAAUCCUAAGAUGCUGGAAAGCCCCGGGAUGCUUUUGCACAUGCGCAAAUACAAAAGAGAUGAUCCUUUGAUUGACCAGUUGGUGAAGGACAUGCAGCUGGACGACCACACACACACACAGAUGAUGUCAAGGCUAUCGCGUAUGUCCAGUGGUCUGCAGUACAUGGGACAUACUAGUCGCGACUGGGUCAACAAGAAACAGAAGUUUGCUAGAGAAGAGUCCCAAGAUGACGUGAAGAAACUUCUGGAUUUCUUCGAGAAGAUGCAAAAGAUAAACCCAGAUGUAACAUCCUAAUUUUCAGCCAAUGCAAGAUGCAAAGGAUCGUAUGAAAAUUCUGGAGACAGCGUUACAUUUGACAUGACAUAUAAAACUAACAAAUUCCACAUGCCGCUGGUAGUCUUCGUGGGAGUGAACCAUCAUCUACAAAUUACCAUAUUUUUUGUCACCCUUGUGGGAGAUCAAACGAUACCGUUGUUCGAGUGGACUUUCAAAAUAUUCCUGAGGUGUAUGAACAACCAGCCGCCAAUCUUCAUGCUCACAGACCAAUGUUCUUUGGUGAAGGCAGCAUUGAAAACUAUCCUCCCAGAUACAUUACAUAAGUUGUGUCGGUGGCAUAUCAUGAAGAAGUACAAAGACCACCUGGCCUUGCUGUACAAGGCGCACGAGAAACUAAAGGAUGACCUCAAUGCGGUGCUGAACCACCCACUAAUGUCGUCAAAAUUUGAACAUGCAUGGAAGGACCUCAUUUAGAAAUACAACUUGCAAAAUGAAGAAGUUAUGAGUUCGUUGUGGGAUGACAUGCACGAGUGGAUCUCGGCUUACUACAAGGAAUUUUGUGCUCGGAUGACUUCCACACAGAGAAACGAGAGCAUGAACCGCAUAUUGAAGAAAAACUUCAUCAAAGAGAAGCAUGAUCUCCAUCUGUUUGCUCAACAGGUGUGUUGGGGAACGUAG
rnacentral:rRNA from 1 species